AAGAGUUUCAAACUGAUUAAAACAAACAUAAAGAAAAUGUUGAAUAGAUUUUUUUUUUUAAAUUAAUUACAAUCUGGUUUCCAACACAAAGAUGAAUCAGAUUUUUAAACAAUAAAAAAAUGAGAAAUGGUAUUUUCACAGAAAUUUAAAGUAUAAUACUGGAUUCAUAAAAUAUGUUGGGGUGGGGGGGGUGAAAAAAUUUACCAAGAAAUGGAUAUUUUUAAGUUCUGCGAUGUACAUAAUACACAGUGUGUGUGGAGAUUCUUUAGAAUGUGAUAAAUCGGUAACAAUAAUGUGCUUAUUUCAGGUGUGUGUAAGAUUAGAUCUUAACCCUUGUGAAGCUCCUUGGGGUGACUUAUUUUGUGGUUUGAUGCUUUAUCAAUAAAUUGGAUGUAUUUGAUUGCAUUUAAAUAUUGUAGACACUUGAUACGCCAACUGUUGAGGUAUUGAAUGAACUGAUUUAAAGAUUGGUGCAAAUAUUUAUGUAUUCAGGAUUGUGUUCUAUUUCACAAGUU